CAACAUUUGUUGGAUGAGAAUUGCUUUACAAAACUUCCAUGGCCAAACCAGUCACCAGAUAUGAACCCUAUUGAACACCUCUGGAGCAUAAGGACUGAAC